UCGAGGAUCUUCGGCAAUGGGCGCAAGCCUGACCGAGCGACGCCGCGUGUGCGAUGAAGGCCUUCGGGUUGUAAAGCACUGUCGAGGGGGAUAAAGCCCGCAAGGGUUGAUUGAUCCCUGGAGGAAGCACGGGCUAAGUUCGUGCCAGCAGCCGCGGUAAGACGAACCGUGCGAACGUUGUUCGGAAUCACUGGGCUUAAAGGGCGCGUAGGCGGCAUAGCAAGUCCGGGGUGAAAGCCCCCAGCUCAACUGGGGAAGUGCCUUGGAAACUGCUGUGCUUGAGGGAGGUAGGGGUCGAGGGAACUUCUGGUGGAGCGGUGAAAUGCGUUGAUAUCAGAAGGAACGCCGGUGGCGAAAGCGCUCGACUGGACCUUUUCUGACGCUGAGGCGCGAAAGCUAGGGGAGCAAACGG
rnacentral:rRNA from 1 species